rnacentral:rRNA from 1 species
CUACGGGGUGCACCAGUGGGGAAUAUUGGACAAUGGGGGAAACCCUGAUCCAGCAAUGCCGCGUGUGUGAAGAAGGCCUGCGGGUUGUAAAGCACUUUCGGUUGGGAGGACUGCUUCUAGCACUAAUAUUGUUGGAAGUUGACGUUACCUUCAGAAGAAGCACCGGCUAACUCCGUGCCAGCAGCCGCGGUAAUACGGAGGGUGCAAACGUUAAUCGGAAUUACUGGGCGUAAAGCGCGCGUAGGCGGCUAGAUCAGUCGGGUGUGAAAGCCCCGGGCUUAACCUGGGAACUGCAUCCGAUACUGGCUAGCUUGAGUACAGGAGAGGAGAGUGGAAUUCCACAUGUAGCGGUGAAAUGCGUAGAUAUGUGGAGGAACACCAAUGGCGAAGGCAGCUCUCUGGCCUGAUACUGACGCUGAGGUGCGAAAGCGUGGGGAUCAAACAGGAUUAGAUACCCGUGUAGUC